UACGUAGGGGGCUAGCGUUAUCCGGAAUUACUGGGCGUAAAGGGUGCGUAGGUGGUUUCUUAAGUCAGAGGUGAAAGGCUACGGCUCAACCGUAGUAAGCCUUUGAAACUGGGAAACUUGAGUGCAGGAGAGGAGAGUGGAAUUCCUAGUGUAGCGGUGAAAUGCGUAGAUAUUAGGAGGAACACCUGUGGCGAAAGCGGCUCACUGGACCACAACUGACGCUGAUGCACGAAAGCUAGGGGAGCAAACAGG
rnacentral:rRNA from 1 species